rnacentral:rRNA from 2 species
GACUCUCGGCAACGGAUAUCUCGGCUCUCGCAUCGAUGAAGAACGUAGCGAAAUGCGAUACCUGGUGUGAAUUGCAGAAUCCCACAAACCAUCGAGUCUUUGAACGCAAGUUGCGCCCGAGGCCACUCGGCCGAGGGCACGCCUGCCUGGGCGUCA